GCAUUCUGGAGUACUUUGAAGAUAAAUAUUUUGAUAUCUUCUUAUAAAUAGUGUAGGUACCCUCACUUCUCUUCCUGCAAUUUACAUGUACUAUACGUGUACUAUACCAAGCUCUCUUCUUCAAGGUUAAACGUAAAGUUGAUGAGCUGUGCAAGCAUUCGAACACCUUUGAUUAAUUAUCGAGAAUGUGCUUUUCAGCUCAUUUCUACAUGGCUUCAAAUUUCAUCACAUUCGGUUACAUGUCGCGUAGAUUUCGAACUUCUAACCAAUAUGAGCUGUGCCAACACCUUGCGGCCCGCCAGAUAGAUCAUCCGUUGCUUGAAGGUCAGAGGUUUCUUUAUCGAAAUCCAUAAAUACUGGGUCCUCGAAAAUAUUCGCCUCUCUUUUUUUGCUCUGGCUGUUUUGCUAUAUUGCUCGUGAUGAGAUACGAUGGGUUUCCUGAAAAGAGGUUGUGUAGACGAUCUUCAUUCUAUGUAAAAUGAAUCGAUUGAGGAAUGUCAGUCACAUGUGAUAUGAUAUCUUGCGGAUCGGAGGGUCUCACUGAA
rnacentral:sRNA from 1 species